GCCUGACGUGCUUUCCCAAGAAGCCCUUCAACUCAGACACGGCGGCAAAAGCUGAGCAGAGGUCGGCGAUGCGUGGAGCGUCAGAGCGGGAGAAAACCUGAGGGAAGAAAGCACUAACUGCUCUCGGGAGGCAGAAAUGUGGAAAAACCUACACUACAAGUAGCAGCUGACGAGAAAGCCCUCUGCAUCCACCUUCUGGUUAAAGCUCCAUGGCGGCAGACGUGGAAAGUAAUGUUGCAAACAGGCCAGCAAGCACCCAAACUGAAUAAGAACAAUUUCUGGGAGAAUCUUAAGAGAGGGUGCCAGCGAUUGACAAACCACCGGCCUUGGCAGCGUGCGAGGUUGCAGAGAUCCCUGCUCCCAGCGUAUCCCAGUGAAAGGGUGGAACACGCACAGCUGAUGAGUGAAUGUGAGUGGCUGAUGUCUGGAGAAAGAAGUCGCCUGCAUAUUGAAUAAAGAGAAACUUAAGAAGGAGAAAGGACUUCAGAAUUCCCAGAUGUAUAAUUCCAUCAGGAGAAAUGGUAAUACAACUCUAAGUGAUGUAUACACAGUUUCAUCUGGGGACUCUCAAUGAAAACAAUGACAUCUGAAAUAUAUAGAUAAUUAAUUUUAUUGUGAUUAUAUGAGGGCAGCAUUUAUGAGGGCAAAAGAACAACUUCAGUCUUCCAUUUGGAAAAGAAAGAAUAGCAUGGAAUAAGAUCUUGACUGUGCAAAUAUCUACAGUUUAAUGGUAUUUCAGAAUAAAUUGUCUUACAGAUUCAGUUAUUGCCGUGCCGGGAUGCUUCCAUCAGAUUGCACAAGCACUGCUGGAGAAACGGUGGGAAGGAAGAUCAUUUAGGAUCUCUUCUGCAAUCUUGUACACAAAUAGCCAAGCAGACAAAAACUUUCACUCAGUAAAAUAGUUUGUUUAAUGUCAAACAAUACAGAGUGAUAUGCAGUAAAUUAUAAAUGUUAACCGAAGUGAUUCUCAUUGGAGAGAAUUUCUUGCUGCAACGAGAAUCUUUAAGUUUUCUCUGCAAGAGGACUUCUUAGGAACAGGUAGUGCCAAAAAUAGCUCUCAAAGCCAAAAAGAGGUAGAUUCUGUGCAGCACCUGAGGAGUACUGAGCUUUGAAAUAUUAAUGGGGCAGAUAUAAAGUGUGGAAAGAUGUGACACUGACAGCUAACAUAUGAACUGAUUGAUUCUCUAUCUCGUACAUGUAUGAUCUUGUGAAGGGGGGCUUGAUGAGCAAAGAAAAAAGGAACAGCAAUGUCACAGUCAUAUCACUUUGAGUAUCUUAGAAUAAGGAUUUAACAUUUAUGAUUUUUUUUUCCACUCAGGACAGAUUUUGUUUUGUUUCUGAGCUGGCUGUAUGCCUUUCCUCUGAUGCUCCUGAGCUUCAUUCACUAAAGAUGUGUGGCACACGGUGCAUCCUACUGUGUGCUAAUAAGAAACUAUCAACAGAUUGACUUGGUGGAAGCCCUUUGCUGUAGAAAUGUAAAGUGAAACAGCUGUUACAGACUAGCUUCAUUGUACGGAUCCUGAAAUCUGAACAAAACUAAAAACUGCUGUUGAUCACUAUGGAAAGAAACUUCAUUGGAUUUUUCCCAGUGUGGCUUUGUUCUCCAGUUAAAAACUUCAGCCUUGGGCUAAAAGGCCAUUUUUCUCUGCUUUGCUGUAUCCUUUUAUUUUUCAUUUAACACUGGGUCCAAGAACAUUAAAUAAGUGUUGUAGUCCUAGGCUUGCUCUGCCGAUGAACAAUUGAUUUGCUGUGGUCCUCACAGGAUCUAGCGAAGGUUCAGCAAGAGAGUAAAAGGAAAGAGGUGAGAUUUCUGGAAACUGGAUUGCUGGAAACAAAACAUAAAGAACUUGGUUUGCAGUGUUGAGUCAGCUUUGUUUGCUGCUCUGUCAAGGAUAGCUCCAAUCUGAACUAGCCAAAUUUGGUUUAUAUACAUUACUACGUGAUAGCCACCACCAUCUUCUAGAAGGCAUAUGGUGUCAUUAGCACAACAAAAUAGCAGUUGCACAAAUUAUAUGAAAUCUAAAAAGGAAGAAUUCUACUGUAAGUGUCAAGGCCAAAUGUUGUGGUAUGUAUCUAGUUAAAGUAAGAAAGUAAGGACUUAUUUUUCUAACUCAUUCUCCAUAUUCUGUUCUCCCAGGCAGGUAUCUAAUGCAUUCACCCCACUGCCAAUGCUCAGAUGUGAGCACGCACCUACUUUCUGAGCUUUUUACCAUGGGACAUUACCAGCAUCCUGCCUGCUCAAAACAUUAGCUCUGUCAGGAAAUAGUAAAUGGCAGGAUAUAUAUGCCAAAGUUCUCUAAGUGGAACCACCUGGGUAUCUAUUGUGUUUCCAUUCUGAAUUUUCAUCGGGGCUAUUUAUUAUCAAAGAGAAACUGUAGGAAAAGUGAGAAACGGGUAUUGUUAAUGAGUUUUCUGGGAGUGGAAGUAUAAAUCAGUUCUUAUGACCUGGAAUGGCGUUAUCCAAGGGCCACGAGAAUCUGCAUGUGGGUGGCCAAUGCAGUCGGCUUUUCAAACCGAUUGGCUGUAUUUAGGUGAGGAUGACAGCACCAGACCAGCAGUGGAUGAGUAAAUGUGACAGGUUCACAGAUAACAGUGCUGACCUAUAUUUGAUAAACGCUUUUUGUUCUACAGUUUCCAGUGACAGUAAAGCCACCUGGCUGCUGUUUUUUUCACCAUGCAUCUUGCUGUAUGGAUGGGCAGAAAUGAGGCCUGUGCUUCUUUACACUAUAGACUUUCUUUCUACUUGUCGGUAGCUAUGAGCACAAAAUGUUGCUUUUAGAGUGUCCUUGAAGCAUGCAUAUUAUUUUUCCAGUUGCAUGGGAAUUGCCAGGUCACAGCCUGACCCAAUGGUUGUGCACCAGGUGACAAAGCAUGGGUAACCCAGGGAGCUCAGCUGCAACCAAUGCACCUGAGUGACCAGGAGUGGGCCCUGGGCCCACCCCUCCUCACCCUCAUUUAAGGGUUAGCAGCUGAGGGAGUAGCAUCUCUCUUGAGACUGUACUUCUCUUGAGCUGUUACUGGUUGUCAGAAGGGGUGAGUUAAUUUUUCUGUGUUGGUUUCUAUUGCUCUGUAGAGUUUGUAUCCCAGGAGAAGGUACUGCUAUUGCUUUCUUUUGCCCCACACCAGUUCAUUUGAGAGAAACAUUCAUGCUUCAUCUACCUACACACCAGCUCUAAUAGUCAGUGAGUGCUAGGCAGGACUUCAUCAUUGGAUGGUAUUAUCCAACAGGCUGAUGAAGAGAUGAACAGGGUACACCAUUCUUUAUUCCUGCUUUUCUUCAAUUGCUUUUUGGCUAAAGCAAUCUUGCAACACCUAAGUUAAAAAGAUGAUUUUGAGAGACUCAAUUCGCUGCAGCAGUGCCAAAAUUAAGAUUGCUUUCUUUAACAACUAAACAAUUCUGAAGACAGUGCACCUGCUCAAAUACAGGAGUGUGCUUGGCCUUAAGGGUGUGGGGUGCACAAGAGUAAAACCGGCCAAUUUCCAACUUCUCUGCCAUGGGCAGGGAUGCCCUUGCUAGGUCAGGUUGCUUGAAGCUCCAUCCCACCUGGCCUUGAGCACCUCCAGGGUUGGGGCACCUACAAUUUCUCUGGGCAGCCUGUGCCAGUGCCUCACCAUCCUCUGAGAAAAUAAUCCUGAAUAUCAAAUCUAAAUCUACUAUCUUGUAGUUUAAAGCCAUUAUAUUCAUUUUUUUUACCUGUAGUUAAACCACUGAAGAGUUCACCAGACUAUAUUACACUUAAUAUGCAUAAGUAUAAAGUCAUCUUGCUGUCACUCAGUGUGCUUAAGCACUCCACACACUGUUGAUGACAAAUAACCUGCAAUUGUUCAUCUUUGUUCCCUAGGGUGCUUUCUCUGACAAUGGGAUGACUCAACUCAGCAGUGUUGACUGGAUGAACACAUGAUUUCACAAUAAAAUAAU